CAUCUCAGUAACUAGAGGAAAAGAAAUCAACGAGAUUCCCUAAGUAGUGGCGAGCGAACGGGGAAAAGGGCAAACUGAGUGCUUGCAUUCGGGGUUGAGGACUGCAACAUCCAAGAGAACGCUUUAGCAGAGUUACCUGGAAAGGUAAGCCAUAGAAAGUGAUAGCCUUGUAUGCGACAAGGCGUUCUUAGGUAGCAGUAUCCAGAGUAGGCCAGGACACGAGGAAUCCAGGUUGAAGCCGGGGAGACCACUCUCCAACCCUAAAUACUACUCUUUGAGCGAUAGCGAACAAGUACCGUAAGGGAAAGGUGAAAAGAACCGCAGUGAGCGGAGUGAAAUAGAACCUGAAACCAUCUGCUUACAAUCAUUCAGAGCCCUAUGAUUUAUCAGGGUGAUGGACUGCCU
rnacentral:rRNA from 1 species